UUUGAGAAGUUCAAAGAUGAUGAAGGUAAAUUCAAGGAAUCAUUGAUCAACGAUAUACGAGGCAUGUUGAGUUUGUACGAGGCAGCAUACCUAGCAAUUCGGGGAAGACAUUUUAGAUGAAGCCAUUGUUUUCACUACCACUCACCUUAAGUCAGUAAUAUCUGUAUCUGAUCAUUCUCAUGUAAACUCUAAUCUUGCUGAACAAAUACGUCGUUCUCUGCAAAUUCCUCUCCGUAAAGCAGCAGCAAGGUUAGAGGCAAGGUAUUUUUUGGAUAUCUAUUCAAGAGAUGAUUUGCAUGAUGAAACUUUGCUCAAGUUUGCAAAGUUAGACUUUAAUAUAUUACAAGCAGCACACCAGAAGGAAGCAAGUAUCAUGACCAGGUAACUUCAGAUAUAUAUUCUUUCAACGUGGAAAAGCCUAUUAUUGGUGUUGUUUUGAAAUGGGCGAUUGUUACUUUCCCUCAAAAGAGAAAUCAUAUUUUACCAGUUGCCCCCUUGUAUAAUGAAAGACUCAAUGCAAAAUAUCUUAUAAUAGUUAAUUAAUUAUUUAUUAACACCCAAACCAAGAUCUUUAGUUUGCAGUAAAAUUUUUAUGUAUUCUAGAUUUGUCAACAGUGGUAGUGGUUGUAGUUUUUGUAUAUUAUGUGCUUGUUGCUAAUAACAAUAAUAAAAAAUGUUAUAGUGUUUGGAGGAUAAUGUGUAUAAUGAAAGAGUAGUGAUACAAUUAUAAUUUUUUUUUAAGAACGGAUGUGAUAUAAAUUCAUAGAUUCAAUGAAAAUACAAAACAAUAAAAAUAAAUCACGUAAAUUUCUCUCUCUCUCUCUCUCUCUCUCUCUUUUUUUUUUUUAAAGAAACAAAUUUUCCAAAUACAAUAUGGAAGAUUUCCAACUUCUCUUUAAAAUUUUUAGCUUUUGUCACUUAUCCCUAGAGUUUUCAUAAUUCCCUUGCUACCUCCUUAAAAGAUGAAACCAAAUUGUGUUCUUCUUGGCAUUUCUUAUAUACUACAGAAGUACCGAUUAUUAUAGUGACAACUUUAUAAUGUAGCAAAAUAUCUAUCUAAUUAGAUUUAAAAUUGAAUUUCAGGUGGUGGAACGAUUUAGGCUUCCCUAAAAAGGUGCCUUAUACAAGAGAUAUAGUAGUAGAGACAUGUAUUUGGAUGUUGCUAGGAGUGUCCUAUGAGUCCAAUUUGGCAUUUGGUAGAAUUUUUGCAUCCAAAGUGGUGUGCAUAAUAUCCAUAAUAGACGACACAUUUGAUGCUUACGGUACUUUUGAAGAGCUCACACUUUUUAAUGAAGCAGUCACAAGGUUAUAAAACCAUAUACAUCCCUAUAUAGCAGUUGUUAAGUUGCAUUAUCUGUAUUCUAUAGGUUACAAUAACCUAAAUAAUGGGGAUAUCAUGAGUGACUAUUAAGGUUGCUGCAUGUUAUAUAUGAUGUAACUUAGCAAGAUCCCAUGUCUAUGUAAUAAAAUAUUAUUAUCGUUUCAUUAUUUCAAGAAUUAUACAAUAUCAAAUAAGUACAAGAAGUAUUGUUCCCCAUCAUUUUACUACUAUAACUAAAUAAUAGUUUUAAUCAUAAUUUUUUGAAUAACCCUUGAUUUAUUGCGACCGUAAAAGUAGUGAAUUGACAAAAAUACCUUUAGAAAAUUUUGCCCAAAAAAACUCACAAUCUAUUCUAGAAGAAAAAAAAAUAAAUAUGGAAGUGUUGAUUCUGUAAAUAAGCUUUAAAUGUUUUUUUUAAAGAAUAAAUUGUGUUUUUUCUAAGAAAAAUAUCCAGGAGUAUUUUGUUAAUGCACCAUUUUUAUAGUUACGAUAAAUUUAGGGUUAUUCAUAAAGUCACGGUUUAAACCAUUAUUUUACAAUUAAAGGGCAUACCAAUAAUUUUUGUCUAUUAUUUGAUACCUCUAUUUGUGUAUUUUAUUGUAAAAGGAAAAAUUGAUAUUUUACCAAUUAACUAAUGGUUUUAAUGGAAAAGUAGUAAAAUGAUAGGAGAUAAUACUUCUUAUAGUUAUUUGAUAUUUUACAACUCUUGAAGUAGUGAAACAAUAAUAAUCCUAUAACAACGCCACGUAUCUUUAUGGUAUCUUUAUGGUAUCGUAUCUUUAUGGUAUUAUGGUAUAAAAACUCGUGUGUGUUUUUCCAUGAAUUUCUAAACUCUCAAUUCUCUCUCUGCAAAUAAAGUUCUAAGAAAGAAAAAGAAUAAAGGAUUAAAUUUGUUCAUUUUGAAAAACUUAAGGAAGUAUGCUCUGCACUUGCCUUUUGCAAGGAUCCUGUGCAUAAGAAAACUUUUGAUCAUUUCUUAUCUGGUUUGGUACCCUGUUUUAGACCAAAGAAAAGUCUGUUUUGGGUUGUAUAACCUGAGGUGAGGAAAAAUGUUUUAAAGGUUUUUUUAUUACAGAGGUAUAUCGGCUGGAAACCCGAGCUUGCGGACUACUGGUCCAAAGUACAGUCUUAACUGUUGUAGUUCUAGUAUAACAACGUCACGUAUAAGUGAAUCAGUGAAUCUUCUUACCAUCUUCUCAGCCCUUACCAACUCUAUAAACGCCCCAGUUCUUUUACCUGCAGUAUCCGUACUCUCAUAUCCACCCGAAGACCUCACCCUAAAGAAUAUAUCCAGUCUUCUCGCCUGGAUCAAUGUUCUCUCCAAGCAACCCUUGUUGAGCAAUAUGUUACACUUGAAAUACCCUCAGAGUUAAUUUCCAACUGGAAACGAGAAGGUUUUACCCAUCUCCAUCUUGGAGGCAUCAGAUUAAUCCUUACUCUUCAUGGGAGAAAAGGAUUACCAGUUACCGCUCGAAUUGCUAUGCUUGAUACCCGAUUCAAACAAUACCAAGAUGCUGUUAUCUGUACUGUCCUUACAACCCUUCAUGCAGGAAGUGUUUUACUCACUUUCUAUCCCAAUUUCAACAUUUCUCUCCAAGACCCAAAUUUUCCUACAACCUUGAAAGUCCAGGUUCAGAUUCAAGGUGCUGAACAAAUUUCUUCUGCAAAAAUUGCCACUUUACACCACCAACUGGUCUACAAGCUUCAAAAUCAUGCCCUAGAUCUACCCACUCCAGAACACCACUCUGACACCCUCAUGGUGUUAGCAGAAUCCAACCAGAUCCCGACAAUUAUCUAGAUGCCAAGACAAAUUCCACGUCAUGAGCUCAUAAAGCUUAUGCCUCUUGAAUGGAUCUCCAACUAUGAACAGUUCCAUAAUAAUACAGCUCCUAUUCAGACAUCUGAAAGUAUGUUUGAAAGACGACAAGAUGGAACAGUCCGAAUGACUUUUAAACCACCUCCCAGUGCUCUAUAAGAGCCUCCUCGUCUCUCAUUUACGUAUUCCUCAAUGAUUACAGCUGUUCAGACAGCUCAGGAAGAUCUGCCCAUUACAAGGUUUAAUUAUGAAGGUUACCCUGUUUAUUCAGCCAAGCAAAAUGGCCAUUUCCUAUGGGAUGUCCCUGGCUCAGGCAUGUGUGACCCAAAUUGUCCCUGCUGGGAUGAUUGGGAAGAAAACGAUGAUUAUGAAACCACAAGGAACAAGAAACCCAAAAAGAAAAAACCUCAUGUCCCAUGUCACCACUGUGACCCUAAACCACCAUCAGAUCCUCCACCUCCACCAGCUCCAUUACCUAUCUACCGAAAAGAACUCAAAUGGAUUGCCAAACAUUGCAAAUAUGAGAUUCCAUCACCACCCCCACACCCAACACCUAUCGUCUAACCACUGGCUUGUAUGAUGUUUUCCUCUACCUCUUCCGAUUACUCUUCUUCUUUUCCUCCUUUGGAACCCCACACAGAUUCUCAAUGAAAUGUUGUGUCCAAACCCUUUAUCCCUCCACCUAUUACCUCCACUGGCCACCUAGAGCCCCCUAAACCUUUUGAAUUAGUCCUUAACUGGCAAACUCAAAAUGCCAGGGCACAAAAUGAUACUUUGUUGCAUCUCAAUUUAAAAGUUGAGCACAUCAGUUUGCGAACUGAACAGACUGAGACAAAAGUUGAUUCCAUCACUGCACAGAUGCAGCAGAUCCACCAAAAUCUUCACUCCCGAAUUGGUCAACUCGAUUCAGAGUUACGAGCCAUGCUUGCCCAUAGAUACAAUGGUCCAGAAUUUGACCAAAAAGAAAGAGAAAUCAGGCGCUUAAAAGUUGAACUUGCUCAGAUUGAAUCUGAAAAACAGAGACCUAUCCUUUUUACCACAUCUCCUCCUAUCCCUUCCAUCGGUCCAACUUAUCAUCCUUUUGCCUCUAUGCUUUCUCCUAUUAAAUAGUAUGACCCUUCUAAGUUAUUUGGUAUGACUCAUACUCUUUUCAGAGACAAUCAUUUGCCACCACCACCUAAACCUAAACCCAAACCCAAACCUAGACCACAGCCUCGACCUACCCUUGUUCAUCCUUCAUCUCUGACCAUCCCUGGCCAACCAUCUCAUAGUUCUACACCGGCAUCACCUCCAGCUCUAUUAUCAGUCCCUUCCCAAUCCAAGGAUAAAGAACCCAUGAACCAAUUUACUGCUCACACAGUCACCCAUUCAUCUACUACAGACGAUCAAACUUAUGAUUCAAAUUAGCUGUUUCAGAUAGCCCUACCAAAACUGAUACAGAAUCUUCAGCAUCCACUAGUGACUCUGAAAAGUCCUAUGCUGAUAUUACCAAAAUCCUGAUGGCUCAACCUGAUCAACCUACCCAAGGCCAAACCUCUCAUACAGAACCAUAUGUUGAUAUUCCCUCUGAAGUUGAAGAAGAAAUGCCUGAAUCUUCUGCCACAAACCACCCUCCUCCAGCCCAGACCAAUCCAUCUAGCCAAAAAUUGUCAAAUGGCCCAUGGUUCACAUUUCAUGAUCUUCCAUCUCAUAAAUGGCGUAACCGACUCAAUGAGAUGUCUGCCUGGAUUGACCUCCAGAUGCUAAGAACAGGAGCAACAACUCAAUCAGUCCUUAGAGAAUUUGCUACUCGUUUGACGGGUGCUCUAAGAGAUUGGUUUGAUUCGUUAGGACAAUACCGCCAAUUACAGUUUGUUGACCUUCCAGAAGUUUCAAGUGCUCUUGCUGUACUUCAUGAUCAAUUCCUUGGCGACCCUUCUGCAGUCUUUGAAGCUGCCAGACGAGACUAUCUCAACAUGAAAUGCUGCUCCCUCAAUGCUAAGGAUCUUGACUUCCAUUACAAGCGAAUGUCCCUACUGUUCUAUAAGCUUAAUGGAUUCAAUGAACCGACAUUAAAGCAUGUCUUUCUGGCUUCCCUCCUCGAAGAACUCCAACCCGCCAUCCAGAGACAACUCACAGCAUCCAAUCUUUCCCUAGACAACAUCUCUCUUGGCAAAAUCUUCCAGCUUGCCAAAACUUGUCUUGACAAACUUUGCGAGCAAAAACAGUUUUUCAAAGAACUGUUGAAAGACAAAGAACCUUUCCGAAGUGCUUGCAAAAAGCCUUAUUUGCAGAUCAAAUGCCACAAGAAAAAGGAUUGCGAUUGCAGUUCAAAGAAAAAACGGCAUUUUCGGAAAUUCAAAAAUCCAGAAUUGUCAUCCAAACCUCGCAGAUCCCGAAAGCCCUACCGGUUCUUCAGAAAGAAAUCUUCCUCCUCCAAAGAAUUCAAACGAAAGCAAUCAAGCAGAUGUUUCAUCUGCAAGAGAAAAUGCCAUUAUGCCAAAGAUUGUCCCAACAAAAGAGAAAAAUCCAUCCGAUUAGUUGAGCAUCUUCAAGCAACUACAGACUACUCUCCUGCCAAAGAUGAGCUAGAAUUCUAUUUCUCUGAACAAGAUGAACCCAAUGAUGAAACAAUGUUCGCACUACAGAAUUCCUCUGACUCAAACAGUGACCAGUCUCAAGUGAUUUUCCACCAACAGUUACUCUCCCUUGAUACUACAGUUCCUAUCCCAUCCAUCAAACUCCAGAUCUUGCCCUCAAAAUUUCAAAGGCCCAUUCCAGCAAUUGGUCUUAUAGAUACUGGUGCCCAACGCAGCAUGUUAAACCCCCAUAUUCUUCCAUCAGAAUAUUGGACCCAGUUUGAAGAACAUUUCAAAGCUGUCAAUGGCAAACUCUUCACCACCUCUUUGAUUACUAAGAAACCCAUUGGCAUUCAAAUCUUCCCAAAUUGUGUCAUUUGGACCAAGGUUAUUGGUUUAACUCUUCCUAAUAAAGAUAUAUUGUUAGGAUUUGAUAUCCUUCACCAAAUCAAACACCUCCAAAUCAUUCCCACUGGAAUCCGAGUCAAGUCCAUGGUCAAACCAUUCAUAGACAUUCUGAAACUCUACAAUUUGUCUGAAACUCCCCAGUCUUACCAGGAUAUUUCAACCAAACUUUUGAGUUUCUGUCCAGAGUCCCAUUCUGAGUUCAUCCAUCCAAAUCCCUUGUGGAAAAAUCAGUAUUUCUUCAUUAAGUUACCCUUCAAACUAAAUGAAAACAUUAACCCAACUAAAGCUACUCAUCCAGGAAUGAGUCCUUCUGACUUACUCCUAGCCCAACAAGAAUGUUCACAAUUGUUAGCCCAAGGUUUAAUUGAGCCCACAAGUUCUCAAUGGGCUUGCCAAGCCUUUUAUGUUGCAAAGCAUUCUGAAAUUAUCCGAGAAAAGAAACGCCUAGUCAUUGACUACCAGCCAUUAAACAUGUUUUUACAAGAUGACAAAUUCCCUUUACUUCAUCGACAAAGCAUGUUCACUUUUCUCAAAAAUGCCCAGAACUUUUCAAAUUUUGAUUUAAAAUCUGGUUUUUGGCAACUAGGCAUUGAACCCUCCGAACGUUACAAAACCGCUUUUUGUAUUCCCAAUGCCCAUUUUCAAUGGACCGUCCUACCCUUUGGUCUCAAAACUGCCCCAUCUAUUUUUCAAAAAUCCAUGGUUCAACUCUUCCAGCCUAUCCUGCAUCAUGCAUUGAUUUACAUUGAUGAUAUCUUGCUUUUUUCAGGCUCACAUGAUGAACAUCGCCAGCUGUUAACUCAAUUCUAUGAUAUUAUCCAAAGUCAUGGAAUCAUGUUAUCGGCCAAGAAAAGCACCAUCACUACAGAUAAUAUUGAAUUCCUUGAUAUGAUCAUAAAAGAUGGACAUUAUCAGCCAGGAAAGCACAUUGCCCAAGAAUUGCUUCACUUUCCAGAUCAGCAACUUUCCAAAAGGCAAAUUCAACAGUUUCUUGGCAUUAUCAAUUACAUCCGUGAUUUCAUCCCACAUAUGGAUCAUUACACUCAUCAUCUUUCGUCUUUAUUGAAAAAGAAGCCCCCAGAGUGGAAUGCUGACCACACAAUUGUUGUCACUACCCUAAAGCAGAUUGCGCAAAAUCCACCUCCUUUAAAGUUGAUUACUGAUGGAAAACGCAUCCUCCAGACAGAUGCAAGUGAUGAAUCAUGGGGUGCCAUCCUCCUUGAAGAAAUCAACGGAAAAGAGAACUUUAUCGCUUACGCUAGUGGACAAUUUUCUGACACACAGAAGCACUACCAUAGCGUGUUCAAAGAAAUCUUAGCGGUAAAGAAUGGCAUCAAAAAGUUUGAGUAUCAUCUGAUUGGACACCAUUUUCUCAUCCAAAUGGACAGUUCAGCCUUCCCUAAUAUUCUCAAUUUUAAAGGUAAAAUUGUUCCUGAAAAUGUUACUCAGAUUAAAAGAUUAGUUUUCCAAAUAUGAUUUUUCAGUCAAGCAUAUAAAGGGGUCCCAGAACCUCAUCCCUGAUAUGCUCUCCAGACUCUCCAAACCAGAAAACCCUAUUACCCUAUUUUCCACCACCUACCAUUUUUCAAUUAUCUCCAUGGCUACCUCACUACCCCUAGAAGCUCUCACCAAGAAAACUUUUCCCUUCAACAAAAACUUCUCUUCUGUUUUUGCCAUCCAAGAAUUUGCUAGAAAAGCUCUUUUUCGCUUUUUCAUGAAAGCCUACCUUCGUAUGGAGAAACCUGGUUCGUCGGUACAGGAUCCCUUAUGCCUUGAUAACAAACAAUGGCAGGCAAUUUGACAACCAUAACUUUAGGGAUUUCUGCCAAAACCUCGGGAUAGAGCUGAAGUAUUGCUCGCCUACUCACCCUCAGUCUAAUGGACAAGUAGAAGCAGCCAACAAGAUAAUAAAGAGGCUCCUGAAAACCAGGCUUGGAGCAAAGAAGGGUACAUAGGUUGAUGAGCUACCAGGUGUAUUAUGGGCAUACAGGACAACCCACAAAACAGCAACCGGUGAAACUCCGUUCGCUUUGGCCUUCGGACAUGAAGCUGUUGUACUAGUCGAGAUAGGGACGACCACACAUUGGACCGAUCACUUCGAUGAGCAGGAAAACAACGACUAGAUGUGCUUGAAUCUGGACCUGCUGACCGAGAAGAGGGAGCAAGCAUCGAAGCGAUCAGCCGUUUACUAGCAAAGCGUUGCUCGAUAUUACAACCAGAAGGUGUGUAUACGACAGUUGAAGGUCGGCGAUUGAGUACUAAGGAAGGUGAACCAGAACACGAAAGACUCGACACAAGGAGUACUUGGACCAAACUAGGAGGGGCCAUACAGGGUCAAGCAGGCAGUUGGAUCCGGAGCCUACAAGCUUGUUCGCGCAGAUGGCCACGAGGUGAAAUGGCCCUGGAACGCAACGCACCUCAAGAAGUAUUUCCAGUAAGACCUGAUCAUGUCUUAAAGUUAUUUCCAUUUGUUCUCAUUAUUAUGCAUUCUUAUGUAAGUUGAAUUCAGCAAUUAAUGAAACGUCGAGGAAUUUCAGUCACUUGUAACGGUGUAAAAAUCUCUAAGGCAUGCAAAUGUUAAGUCUGAAAGCCUGUUUUAUAGCGAGACCAAAAGCCAAGCGUGCCAGGAUCUGCUCGACCAAGCGAAGACGAGCAGACUCCCGAGCGUUGUAAAAUUUCCAAGGCAUGCAAAGGCUAAGUCUUAAAGCCUGUUUUAUGGCAAGACCAAAAGCCAAGCGUGUCAGGAUCUGCUCGACCAAGCGAAGGCGAGCAGACUCCCAAGCGUUAUAAAAUUUCUAAGGCAUACAAAGGCUAAGUCUUAAAGCUUGUUUUAUGGCGAGAACAAAAGCCAAGCGUGCUAGGAUCUGCUCGACCAAGCGAAGACGAGCAGACUCCCAAGCGUUGUAAAAUUUCUAAGGCAUGCAAAUGCUAAGUCUCAAAGCCUGUUUUAUGGCGAGAACCCGCGUAAGCCAAAACCGUUGAGUUUUUACUGUCGGUUCACUAUGUUACCCAACACCAGAAACUAGGGGACCGGUGUUUGGGGGAUAUACCUCGACAAGACCGGCCAUGAUGAGCAGAUUUCUGGUAGCAGGAUUUCGCGAACAGGUAUAUUCCGCAUAACUCUGGUAGCAGGGGAACACGAGCAGGAAUAUUCCUGCUCGUUCACGAAUGUACCAUCCACGGGGCCAAAAUGAGAGCCGGCCUCCUACCAGGAGCAUAAAACCAUUCCUGCUAGAGGUCGAGGUGAAGAGACCCAAUCAAGGACGGUUGGCAAGACGUACGUGCACUCCUACCUGAGAAUCAAGGCACGAAGUUCAUCCAGCCACGACUACAAUAACGAAGCGUCCACUUCCGAGAGUUGGGGGAGGUAAUGGACGUGGGUUGUGGAAGGCCGGGAUUCAGAGAGAACCUAUAAAAAUGUAGCCAAUGAAAGUAAAAGGGUUAGACUUUUUGAUAUUAAAACUAAGACAAAAAAGAGCUCUUGAUUGAGAGAUUGAAAACGAGCCAUAAGAUUAGCGGCCGAUUUUCCCAGGAAAGCGAAACCUACGUUUCUGACUUGAGCGUCGGAGGGUUUACGCCUGGAAAACACCCGGCGUGCUCUGACUUGUUUCUGUGUACGCAGGAAUCUGUGGAGAAGAGGUCUUGCAAGGAGGGAUCCUGGUCGUGGUAGAACUAGUUGAGGAGAGAUCCUGGUCGCGGACGAGUAGAAAACCAGAAUCUCGCAUCAACAAUUUCAAUGGUGGCUUGACUUUCAGAGAUGAUUUAAGUACUUGCAUCAUUGCUAAAAUUUUGAAUUUUCUUGAGAUUCUGAUUUGUUUUAUUACUAAAAUUUGAUCAUGGAAGUGGUAGUUUCAAUUUUGGUCUCAGCUGUAGUAGAAGCAGGCCAUGUUCUCUGUGGCCCUUUUUGCUAAAAAAUCAACAACACCGUUAAGAUUCAAUCAAAUCUCCAAGCUUUAGAAAAGGAAUUGAAGGUUCUAAUUGGUCUUAGAGAUGACAUGAUAUGUCAACUCGCAUUAGCUGAGAAAGAUGGAAAGGUACCAACAACUCAAGUGAAAGCAUGGGUAAGAUCGGUUGAUGAAUUUAUAUUUGAAGUAGAUUUAAUGCAAGAAAGUGUGAGAGCCAAAGAGAAGAAACACAGUGGUUGUCCGCAGUAUAGACAUGGCAGCAAAGUGGCAAGAAUGCUCAAGGAGGUGCAAGGACUUAAAAGUGAAGGUAUUUUUCCCGCAAGCUUAGUGAUCGCCAACCUCGAAGCAAAAUCUGUUGAGCAUAUCCGUGGACCUUCAAUAGAGCAUCAAAUUGAUGUGUCUAUUAUCAAGUAAUAGACAUAUACCCGAGAAUAGUCUUCCUCUAUUUCCAAUUUGAUAAAUAUGUGUCUAUUAUCAAGUAAGAAAUUCUAAGAAUUUCCUUCCAGCCCAAAAAAAUAAAAAAUUUCCGAAUAACAUUCAUGGGAGGACGACCAAACGAGAACUUACCGAUAAAAGCCAAUUUAAAAGGCUCAGCCAUCUCUCGAAUUUCCGCUACAGAGAAAUGGAUAGCUGGUUCACCUCUGUGCAAUUGAACCAGUUUCACAGGAAUUAAUGAAAUAGCAGAACCAAUCACAGCAUCUAAAAAAGACUUUUGUGGUCUUGAAGUGGCAUUAGGGUUGAGGACGAUGACCGAGUUAAGACUAGAAGUAUAUGAAGGCUUGGGUUUGAUGUUGGUGCUACGGUUUGGGGGAGUUGGGUUGGUGGAAUGGGUUUUGGUAGCCACACAAGUUAGGUCAUUAUGAGUGGUGAGAUGUCAAUGUGGGUAAUGUUGUGUCUGAGAGGUUCGAGGGUGGUAAUAGUUGUCAUGCUACAGCAUCACUGACGUCAAGAAUGGCAUUAGCAAUGUGCAGGGUAUCAUGCGACAUAAGUUUAUUGUUUUGAUGUGGGUGCGUGAUGCAGCGGAAGCUUAAAGUUCAAAAUAUUCCGUUGAUUCUAGAAAAUGUCGGAAUAAAAGAACAACUAAACUCACGUUGAUUCAAAAGAAUGCCAUGAAUUUAGGGAUUAAGACUCGUUAAUUCCGCAGAAUAUCGAGAAUUAACUGAACUCAAAUACUCACAAAGAGAUUUGAAAAUUGAAAAUAUUAUUGAAAUCAAACAUCUGCUUGUAAAAGUUACAAAAGACACUUAUUUAUACUAACUAAGAUUUAUCCUAAUAUAAUUAGAAAACCUAUUUUAAUAAGACUUAUAUCUAAAUUAGGAAUAUUACCCAAAUAAGCAAUGCUUAAACAAUAAGACCCUAAAUAGGAAACCAAAUUAAACUAGAAUACAAAUUAAUUAAAAUAUUUCUAAAUAUUAUACAUUUAAAUCUAAUUAGGAUUUCUUCAAUUUCUUGCUUUCCAUUAUUCCCGCCAGGCUGGAGAAAAUUCGUUCUCGAAUUUUGUAUGUUGUAGUCUUCAAGAACAUCUUCAUGUUCAUAAGCAUUAAUUUUUAAAACAGAGCUUCGACAUAAACAACGAACUUUAAAUUUUCCAACUUUUGUAAUAACGUCCAUCCAAUCACUCCAAUGGUGUAAAAUAAAUUCUUCUAUCAACAACUUCUCUAAUAAUGUCUUCUCGUAUUGUUCGUGUCGAACUUCAACAUAGUUGAGGAAAAACGAUUUCUUCUCAUAAUCCACUAACUCUUGAAAAAUAUCACUACUCUUUUUGUCUUCUUUUGCCAAAUCAAGAGAACAAUAAGAGAUUGUAUCAACAACUAUCUCUCUUUCCUCCACAAGAUCAAAAGAUGGAUGAACAAUUACCUCUUCUCGUCCCACAAUAUCAAGAUACUCAUCAAAUUUCGACAAUUGAUCCAAAUCAAUGUCUUUGUGUUGAGGAUUUGUUGUAGACACGAAUGACCAAUUAAUAUUCUCCUUGGAAGGAAUAAUAUUGUCGAGAGAAACAAAGUUAUCAUUUUCCUCAUUAUCCUCGUAACAAACAUCAUCAUGAACAACUUCAUCAAAUCCAUAUGCCUGCUUUAUGUGUAAAGAUUUUCUAUCUUGAAGUUUCUCUAAAUCUUUAGAAAUCGAACGCAAAAUCCUCAACAUCUUAACUAAAACAUCUCUCAAGAUGAAAUCUUCACGUCGAUGUUGUGAUUUCAUGAUAUAAUUUUUUUUCUUUUUUUAUUUUCUCUCUACUUUCUCCUUUUUUUUUCUGGUGGUUGUUUGGGUUUUUUUUGUGUGCUAAGAUCAGAAAAAAGGCAAUAAUGGUAUAAAUGAAAGAAUUGGGUCAAAAUUAUGAAUAAGCAAAAGUUUUAGAUUUCCGGUGACGGUGGUCGGAAAUUGAGUAAGGAUGGGUGGAUCUAAAAGAUUUUGGGUUGGUGAGUAUGAUGGUGGUGGUGGUUUGUCCAAAAAGUUGGUGUUUUGGCCGGAAUUUGGAGAUAAAGGCGGCGAUUUUGUUGUUGGCUUGAUUUCCGGUGAUCAGUGCGUCGAUCGAUGGUGUUAACCGACUAGGAAGGUUGAGCUCGAGGAGAGGAGUUGAUUGGUGGUGGUUGUGCUGGCCAAAACGAGGCAGAAAUUGGUGAAUGACGGCACGGUUGGCGCGGUUGUUUUGGUUGUUUUUCUGACGAUCUGUGGCUAAUCGACGGUGUCCGAUGCUUGGGGUUUGAUGGUCGGCUUGCUUUGUCUCCGAUGAUGGUGGCUGAUCGUCUUAACGGCCAAGGAAAACCAACGACGGCAGGCGUGGAAAGGUGGCUGACGUGUCUGUCGUUUCUGCUGACUCUGAUACCAAACUGAUGCAACGGAAGCUUAAAGUUCAAAAUAUUUCGUUGAUUCUAGAGAAUGUCGGAAUAAAAGAACAAUUAAACUCACGUUGAUUCAAAAGAAUGCCGUGAAGUUAGAGAUUAAGACUCAUUGAUUCCACAGAAUACCAAGAAUUAACUGAACUCAAAUACUCACAAAAAGAUUUGAAAAUUAAAAAUAUUAUUGAAAUCAAACAUCUGCUUGUAAAAGCUACAAAAGACACUUAUUUAUACUAACUAAAAUUUAUCCUAAUAUAAUUAAAAAAUUUAUUUUAAUAAAAAUUUUACCUAAAUUAUAAAUAUUACCCAAAUAAACAAUGCCUAAAUAAUAAAACCCUAAAUAAAAAAUUAAAUUAAAUUAAAAUAUAAAUUAAUUAAAAUAUUCUUAAAUAUUAUACAUUUAAAUCUAAUUAGGAUUUCUUCAAUUUCUUGCUGAUCAGUGCGGUUGUGUUGGGUGUAGUCGAUCAGGAGGUUGAACGCCGUCAGCCACUGGUGGAUCAUCACCCCCGGUGACUACUAAAGCCAUGGGUGGUUUGUAGUGCUCUUGGGGCCUCAAGGUGCAAAAUUAUGAAUUUGCCCUUAUCGGUCAAAGGCGGCCGGUAGUCAAGCUCAAUGGCCGGCAAGCUCACGUUAGAUCCUUCAGGCCACGCUGAUUCCAAUGAUGAUGGCGGUGAGCUUUCUUGCGCGGUUGUGGCCUCUGAUCGAGCUCCUGAACCCGUGAGUCUCCAACAGUUGGUCGGCAACGAGAACGGCCAAUUUUGUACGUAAGGUUGACCGAAAAAUGAAGAGAGAAUCUUGAAGAACCAAACCCAGAUGGUAGCGUGGCCGGAAACUAACGAAAUCAGGCUUAAAUGAAGCAGCGUUUGCCGUGGUUUCGUGAGCUCGAUCAACGGUCCUCUGGUUGUUUUACAGCGGCGUUUACUCCCCGGAAACGACCGGCAUAGUUCCAGCUUCCGAUCGGUACCUCCCUUGGCCGAUGAGGUGGUCGGAGAAGGGGGUCUGUCUGGGUCAGGUCGUUGUUGUCCGGGUUCGGUUUAAUCUAAUAAGUUUUCUAUAAAUGGAAAGCAGAGCAUACCGAUAGUAUGCAACUCACAGCAGUUGAUUCGCUCAAUAUACUUGCAGACGCAGCAGAGUUAGUUAGUUUGUUUGUUUAAAGAAUAUUUCAAGCUCAGCUCACGUGUGCAGUAUGAAUUAACAAAGAGCAAUUGUUUCUAUAUAAAUAUGUAAUCUGCAUUCAUUUCUAAGAAUUAAUGAGAACAUUCCACAAGUUUCCAUUUUGUUUCUUCUCUUAAUUUUCUCACAUUUCCCUUUUGCCAAACACUAUUGAUCAAGUUUAUUUCAUAACAAAUCUAAUAGGCUUGGUACCUAAAGAAGCAGCCACUGCUCGGAUGAUUUUAGUUUGUUGAAAAGAAUCUGUAAAGCAAAUUUAUACCUUCACAUGCUCCCUACUUCACGAAUGAGUACGACGGCGUUGAAACGUCUAAUAAAUGUUAUUGUUCAUAAAUAACAGGAAACUAAGGCAACCUUGGCUGGUUGCGGUGACAGAUUAUACCACGAAGUCAUCUCCAACAAUACCUAGCUUCUCAUCUAGGGGACCUAAAAAGAUUGACGCAGUUAUCCUCAAGGUUGACUGGAUGCAUUAGUUAAAUCACCAGUAUAUGAUAUUCAAAAUAUAUUAAUCAUUUUCAUAUAACUUUCAUAUUCAUUUCAGUCUAAUGUCACUGCACCUAGAGUGGAUAUCCCGAAUAACAAGAUAAUAAAUUUGAACUUAACAAAUUAAUCAUGGAGCCUCCUUUGAAUGCGGUGGCCGGCACCUCCGUGGCAUAUGUCGUCAUGUAAAGUUAUACAUUUACUCUGUUCAUAUUUGUAACAAAAAUAUGUUAUAUCUGGAGGAGAAAUUGAAGUCUUAGCUAUGCGGGAACCGAGGGCACCGCGAGGCAUAAGUGGCCAUAAUGGGGCAUGAACAAGCCUGUGACAUGUGUCAUAUUUACUGGAACAAUCUCUUUAUCUCUUUUUUCCAUUCCAAAAAGGACAAAAAGAAAAAAGAAAAAUAUAUCUUCUACGCUUAUUCUGGUAAUUUCUUUUUCUUUUUCAAUUUAAAUUCUUUGCACGUCAAAAUCCAAGGCGUUGUCAACACUCACCAUCCGAAGAAAAUGGCAUUGCCUACUGCCAUGUUCCCGUCUCCAUGAUAAAAUUCCUAAGAUGUCGGCACGCUAAUUUCAACCAUCCACGUGUCGAACAAUUACAAGGAAGGGAUUAAAGAAGCAUUUUCUUUUUACGCGGAUAUUUAUUUAAAGCAACACGGAAUCCAAGCCCGACACUUGCUAUUAUUGCUAAGUAGAGUAAAUAGGGGUUUUGUCGUAAAUAGAUGCUAAAGUAGGUCCCGUUAUAAUGUGUUCCUUUUUGGGACCAUCCAUACAAUCCACAACAUUUAAAAUAAAGAAUUUGUGGGUCUUUUUGAGGGAUCUACUAAUCCUGGUAAAUUGGGUGUUAAAUGGAUCCCAUCAUCCCAAAGAAAGUAAAUAUAUUUAUUUAAUUCAGUCUUUUUUUUUUUGAAGAAAUGAAAAAAAAAAAAGUUAUGAUUUAACCUUUUUGGAGGCCAGUUCGGUGUCCCCUUUCAGGGUGUAUAUAACCACUCUUAGGUUGGAUUGCAGAAAUGUGAGAAAAUGAGAGGAGAGAAAAGUAGAGGAAAAGAAAGAAAAGGAGAAGAUAAGAGAGUAAAAUAUUUUUCUAAUAUUUGGUUGAUUACAAAAUUAUACAAAGAAAGGAAAUUUCUAAUUUUUUAUUUAGACAAUUUUAGCCUUAAGUGUUAAACUUUCAAUAUUUAUCAUAAAUAUAAUUCAAAAAAUUAAAAAGUAAAUUUAUUUAAUAUAUUUACAUAAAUAAAUAAUAAAAAAUAUUUUAAAUAACAUACUUUUAUUUAGAAUUAAAUUAAAUUUAAAAAAAUUUAUUAACGUAAUUUUAUUUUUUUAUUAAUCUAAGUAAUUGUAAUUAAUUUAAUUUGUUUCUAAAUAAAUCAUAAUAUAAUAUAAAUAAUUUCUUAAUCAAUAUAUAUUAUAAUUUUGGAAUUUCAUUUAAAAACAAAAACAAAAAAAGAAACAAAUCCGCUGGCUACCGUCUACGAAGUCACCACCAGCAGAUACCACACCAUCAAAUGAAAGCUCGUGAAUGAUAUGAAAAUGAUCAGAGAUUGACAAUCUCAAUAAUGGAUCAACUCAUUUAACUGAAAAUUUUGAUUCUUUUUUCGGGAUUUGUGGAGGUUAAAAUGUUUCUAAACAUUUUUAACCAGGGGUCCGCUUAUAAUACAGUGGUUGUAUCUCAUACAGCCGUUUUUUAUUAUUUUAUUAAUACAACCAAUAACCGGCCACCGCUACUCUCAUUUUAAUUGCUUAAAAGAGGCAAAUAUUAAAUGGUAACUAUCAUAUCGCUCCCUCAUGUUAGGUAAAUAUUACGAUAAUCAAUCUAAAAUUAGAAAACUAUCAAAGACCCCCUCAACUUAAAAAAAGAAAAUACUACUUUUUCUUUUAAUUCAUGAAAAAAUAGUUAAUAUAUUUAACUUAUGUACUAAUAAAAAUAUAAUUAAGUACAAUUAAUAGAUUAAUAUAUUUAAACAAAAAUAAUUAUUUUAUUUUAUUAAUAUUACGUUAUAAAUUUAAUGAUAUUUUACUUUAAAAUGUAACUUAAGUACUAAUAAGAAUAAUAUUUUAAUAUAAAAAAUUACAAUAAACUAUAUAUUAAUUAAAAAAUAAAUUAUAUAUCAAUUAAACUAUUUUUAUAUUACUUUAUAAAUGUAAUGAUGUUUUGCCUAAAAAACUAUCAAAACAAUUUUAUCAACUUUUAAUCACAUUAAAAUCCAAGUAUCUAAACAUAUAAUAAAAACAAUUCAUUCCUAAAUAUUUGGAAGAAAUCAAUCUCAAUAUCCCACAAACCACAAUACACAUAUAAGGACUUAAAUCCCUACCUACGAAAAUGAUUGUAAUGUUUAUCCAACUAUCGAAUAAUUAUUAUACCAAACAUCAUACUCACCCCUCAAAUGUUGUUGUUGUUGUUAUUAUUAGUGGCUAAUAUAUGUUCUUUGUAUACCCUCUAAAAAAAAAUCAUAUAUUAGACAAAUAUAAAGCAUCUAAUAUUUCAUAUUUUUAAAUAAAACUCACAAACAAUCUCUUAUGCAAAUUGAUUCAUACGAAAUUAUGUCAAAUUAAUUACUUUAUUUAAUUUUUUUUGGUAUAGUAAUUUUUUUUUUGCUAAACAUUAAUCAAAUUUAUAAUGGUACAUAAUAUGGAUAAUUACAAAUUGAAUGCAACUAAUAUUGAAUAAUGUUAUAUUAAAUUAUUUUUACAGUUAUAUACUUUAAGCACGACAAUUACAUUUCUAAAUUAAAUCAAAUUAUUUGAGUAACACUACACUCACUUGAUGGUUCAUGAUUUGUAUACUGAAUAGUGUGCAAUGAUCACAAAAUUAGUUCAAUCUUACAUUUAUAUCUAUAUUUUUUAAAAUUAAGUUAAUUUAUAUAACAACUAAAAAUAUAAAAUUAUGUAAAAAUAUUAACAAGCUUAAAUUUUAUAUCUAUAUUUUUUAAAUUAUAUUAUAUUAUAUUUUUGGUGAAACAAUAAGUACUUAGGUUUCAUUUAGGUGGGUAAAACUACCGCCAAGAUAAAAAGCAAUUUUGUUUUAAUACCGCGUACAUUUACAAUUUUUUAAUUUUUUCCCCAAAUUUUGAUUCAAAAUAUAAAUAACUCUCAUUCUUCCAUUGUUAGAAACCCUAGUCGAGAAAUUUUUUUUUUAUAUUUUGAAUAUUGUUGUUAAAAAAUCAUCAAAAAAAUAUGUUGUUAAAAUUAGAAUAUAGUUUUGUGUUAUUUUAUAUUUAAGUUUCAAUUUUUUUUGUUCAAAACAAUAGAUAUCUGAUCAUGCCUAAGAAUUUGGAUCAUACCUUUGAAAUUUGAAUAUUUUUGUUAUUUUUUUGCAGCCUUUUUUUCUAAUUUCAUUUGGUUUUUGUAUUUUUUUUAUGCAGAGACCCAUGAAAUCUAAAUCUCAAAUUAUUAGCAUUUGAUUUAGCUUUUGGAAGCUGUGAAUUGAUUUAAUUUUGUAAUAGUUUUAUUGAUAUUAAUAGUUUUUAAAGAGUUAUUUUCUCACAAGUUUGUAAAAAAAAUUCUGAACAAAAGUGGUUUUAGGCUCAACUCUUUUUGCAAUUUUAACUUUUCAAUAAGCCUCACAUUAGGUUACUAUUGUAAGUAACUGCUUAAGUGAUCGAAGUUCUCAUUCUUGUAAUGAAACUCUUGAUUUGAGUAAAGUUUAAGUGCAUCGGAUAAAUUAGUAGGACGUUAUAAUUUUAUUUGCAAAUAAAUGUCAAUAAAUUUAUGAGUAAAAAAGACCAUUUGAAAAAGAUAAAUUAAUUAAACAUGCAAAAUCAUAUUACUAUAAUGUUAGAUUUUCCUCGUACCAUAUUGUUGGGCAUAACAAAUUUCUAAAAAUUAUAUUGAAGAACUUAUUUUAUAAAUAGAAAAUUAUAUACAUAUUUAAAAAUGAAAAGGAAGAAUACUCAUUGUAAGAAAAAAUUUUGUUAAAAAAUCUCAUGAUUGUAGUAAUAAUAAUUGUAGUAAUAGUUUAAAAAAACAAAUAAUAAUAAUAGUGGUAAUAAUACAAGUAUAAUAUAAUAAUAUUUAUAAUUAAUAACAUAAAUAUUUUGUUGAAGUAGUUGGAAAUUACUAAAACUAAUUUGAAAAGAAAAUAGAGUGGUAAAAAUUUAAUUCGAAUUCAAAAAAAUCUUAAUUCUUGAUUUAUUUUAGUUUAAAGAUAAAUAAAUAUGGUUAAUUGAAUGAUAAAAUGGGCAUAACAUUUACAAAAAUCAAAAUUUAAGUAUAAAUAAAUUCAAGUUCAAGAAAUCUUAUCAAUUCAAUUGAUCCCCCCAAAAAGAGAAAAAAGAUAAUUCAACACAAAUAAAUUAAGAAAAUUUCAACUUUUGUAAGUUUAAACUUUUUUUAUAAUUUAUGCUGUCAAAACUUUUAAAUUAAUUUUUUUUUAAAAUACAGCAAUUGCACGCACCUUUAUAUAUACUUUUAAUCUAAUGUCAAAUUUUUGAAAAAUUAAAGAAAUUAUUUAAAGAGUAAAGAGAAAGCUAAAAAUGAAUGCAUUAAUUUACUUGAUAACUAAAAACAAUUAAUUAAAAUGAUAAAAUGAGAAUAAAUAUGUAGAAAGAUUACUCGCUCAAGUAUGUAUAUAUAUAUAUAGACACACACACACACACACACACACACACACAAUCAAAUUCAAGUGAAGAAAAUAGAAAAAAAAUAGACUUAGAUUAUAGACAAAAUAUUAGAAAAGAUUAAGGGUUGUAAUAAAGAUUUUUUAGUACUAUAUAGUAAGUUGAUAUUUACUAAAAUAGUAAGGGGUUAAACAUAAUUCACCUUAUUAAUAUUAUUGUUAUUGGUAAUACGAGUACAUUGACUAUUUAACCCAAUAAUUGGAAUAUUGUCAAGUUAAUGGGAAGGUUCAAACCAAAAUUAGUAGAAUAAUAGUUGAAACAAAUAGACCCAUAAGGGAGAAAGUAUAACCAAAAUUAGAGACUUACCCAACCAAAAAUAAAAUUAUGAAAAAUAAAUUUGGUACCUAACCGGAAUAAUUGGAGUCUUACCAAAUUAAUGGAAAUAUUCAACACAAAAUUAGAGUAACAAUUAGUUGAAACACAUGAACCAAUAAGAGAGAAAGUGCAACGGAAAUUAGGAACUCAUCAAACGGAAAAUGAAAGUUACUUGGAACAUAACCCAAAAUUUUGGUAUUUAACAAAUUUAGUAGGAAUAUCAAACGUAAAAUCGAUGGAAUAAUAAGUUGAAACAUAUGAACCUGUAAAUGAAAAAACUUAACCAAAAUUAGGAACUAAUCUAACCAAAAAAAAUAAUUUGGGUAUUUAACCCAAACAACAGGAAUCUUACCAAGUUAAUUAGAAUAUUAAACGCAAAAUCAGUUAAAUAAUAGUUGAAAUAUAUGUACCCAUAAGGGAGAAAGUAUAACCAAAAUUAGGGACUUAUCUAACCAAAAAUAAAAUUAUGAAAAAUAAAUUUGGUAACUAACCGAAAUAAUUGGAAUCUUACCAAAUUAAUGGGAAUAUUCAACACAAAAUUAGAGUAACAAUUAGUUGAAACACUUGAACCAAUAAGAGAGAAAGUGCAACGAAAAAUAGGAACUCAUCCAACGGAAAAUUAAGGUUACUUGUAACAUAACCCAAAAUUUUGGCAUUUAACGAAUUUAGUAGGAAUAUCAAACGUAAAAUCGGUGGAGUAAUAAAUUGAAACAUAUGAACCUAUAAAUGAAAAAACUUAAUCAAAAUCAGGAACUAAUCUAACCAAAAAUAAUAAUUUGGGCAUUUAACCCAAACAACCGGAAUCUUAUUAAGUUAAUUGGAAUAUUAAACGCAAAAUCAGUGAAAUAAUAGUUGAAAUAUAUAGACCCAUAAGGGAGAAAGUAUAACCAAAAUUAGGAACUUACCUAACCAAAAAUAAAAUUAUGAAAAAUAAAUUUGGUAACUAACCGAAAUAAUUGGAAUCUUACCAAAUUAAUGGGAAUAUUCAACACAAAAUUAGAGUAACAAUUAGUUGAAACACAUGAACCAAUAAGAGAGAAAGUGCAAUGAAAAAUAAGAACUCAUCCAAUGAAAAAUUAAAGUUACUUGGAACAUAACCCAAAAAUUUUGGCAUUUAACGAAUUUAGUAGGAAUAUCAAACGUAAAAUCGGUGGAGUAAUAAAUUGAAACAUAUGAACCUAUAAAUGAAAAAACUUAAUCAAAAUCAGGAACUAAUCUAACCAAAAAUAAUAAUUUGGGUAUUUAACCCAAACAACCAGAAUCUUACUAAGUUAAUUGGAAUAUUAAACGCAAAAUCAGUGAAAUAAUAGUUGAAAUAUAUAGACCCAUAAGGGAGAAAGUAUAACCAAAAUUAGGAACUUACCUAACCAAAAAUAAAAUUAUGAAAAAUAAAUCUGGUACCUAACCGGAAUAAUUGGAAUCUUACAAAAUUAAUGGGAAUAUUUAACACAAAAUUAGAGUAACAAUUAGUUGAAACACAUGAACCAAUAAGAGAGAAAGUGCAAUGAAAAUUAGGAAUUCAUCCAACGGAAAAUGAAAGUUACUUGGAACAUAACCCAAAAUUUUGGCAUUUAACGAAUUUAGUAGGAAUAUCAAAUGUAAAAUCGGUGGAAUAAUAAAUUGAAAUAUAUGAACCUAUAAAUGAAAAAAAUUAACCAAAAUCAGGAACUAAUCUAACCAAAAAUAAUAAUUUGGGUAUUUAACCCAAACAAUCGGAAUCUUACCAAGUUAGUUGGAAUAUUAAACGCAAAACCAGUGGAAUAAUAGUUGAAACAUAUAAACCAAAAGGGGAGAAAGAAUAACCAAAUUUAGAAACUUUUUUAACGAGAAACAAAUCUACUUGGAAUUUAACCCAAAAUAUUGGUAUCUAACGAAUUUAAUAGGAAUAUUAAUCACAAAACUAGUGAAUUGGAAAGUAGAAACAAAUGAACCUAUUCGUGAGAAAGUUUAACCAAAAUUAGAGACAUGUGAAAUUAACUUGAAACAUCAACCUAAUAUAUUGUUAUUUAACCAAAAGUAUUGCGACAUGAUUAUUUUACCCUUUUUUUUUAACUUUCAUUUAGAUUAAAAAUAUUUUUCUCACUCAAAUAUUUUUUAAGUUAAAUGUUUAUAAAUUUCCUUAAUUUUUUUCAUUUUAUUUUAUUUUUUCUGCAUUAAAAAUGAUUUUUUUUAAAUUAUUGAAAGAACAACCGGUAAAAUACCGGUUGUUCAAGUGGAAAAAGUAGGCUGUAUGUCAUACAGCACUGUACUAUAUGAAGACUCUUUAACCAGAUUUGAACAACAUAUAUCUGGUUUUUGAUCUCAACGAUAAUGUAGUAAUGUUGAUAAUUAGCUAGCGAGUCGAAUGGCAGUGGCAGUGAGAUAGUACACGUCAAUGACAACAGCGAUGAUGGCGGUGGUCUAACGAUCCGAUGACUAUUAAAUUAAUAUUUCUAUAUUCUUAGAUUAAUUAAUUAAAUAAACUUAUUUUUAAAAUAUUACUCAAAUUUAAUUAAUAUAAAAUUAUCUCUAACAUUAAAUUGAUAAAAUAAAAUUAUAAAUAAUAAUUAUUUAAUUACAUUAAAUAAGUUAAAAAGUUGAAGGGGUAUUUUUGGAAGCUUUGAUUUCCAACACAUGGGGAUUUCAAAUUCUUCACUUCUUAGCAUAGAAUUCAAAUUCUAGAUUAUAAUGGAUAUUAAGUUCUAAUAGAAAUUAAAAUUCUUACAUAUUAUGUCAAACCAAACAACAGAAAUAAAAAAAAGAAUUCAAAUCAUUUUCCUCUCCUCCAUCCUCUCCUUCUAAACAAGCACAACCUUAAUUUAAUUCUGAUUGGACUUUUUUCUUUAAUUUAGACAUCAUGUUCCUCCUUAAAGCAUCUCAAAAAGCCUCUACAACUUUUACUCUUCAAAUAUUUAUUUGCUUACCUAUGUGACAAAUAGAAGGGUGAAAAAAUAUAAUAUUCUCCAAAACAUUAAUAUUAUUUUAAUUAAAUAAUUAUUUUUUUAAAGGAAAAGUCAAUAACAAUUAAAGCACUACUCUCUCUUUUUCCAAUGAAAAGUAAUAAAAUAUAAUAACAGAGCCCCUAUUGAAUAAAAAAUAUAUAUAAAUUGAAGAGGGAGAAAUCAACUCUCCAAAUUUGAAGAGAGAGAAUCAUUUUUUAUUUGAAAAAUCUUAAUUGGGGUGUCUUUUGGAGUCUUAAGUAUUGAUGUCGGUCUUCAAAUAAGUAAUAAAAUCUUAUUUGAAAAGUCUUUUGGUGAUGCUCUUAUUAUAAUUUCCUUUUAUUAUCUUCUCAAAAAUAAAAAUAAUAACGACAUUAUAAUCUUUUCAAUAUACUCUUUGGAAAUUGUAUGAUUGUAAGGAAGAAAGUUACUAGGAAACGAAAUCAAAUUGUGCAUUAUUUGAAAGACUACAUAGUUUCAUUAUGUUUGUUAAUCAAAACAACAUGUAUCUUUUCAUAACUCUCUUUUUAGAGGAUUAAUUGUCUUUAGUUGGUGAAGUAAGUGCACUUUUAUAUUUCUCAUGCUUAUAGAGAGGUUAAUGGUGAUGCUGAUUGUAUACCUAAUCUUGGAUUGGCUUGUGUUUCUUAAAAUACUCUUAAAUUGACAUACAUCAUUACUUUUCAUAAACAGAAUUAUAAGGAAUAGGAAUUAAAAACAGAUCACCUUUCCUUCUUACAGUAACACCGAAAGCCUCAGUCGUAGAAGAUUUUCCAUCAUGGAGUUUCCAAUCGAAGUGGUAGAGCAUUUGAGACUAUUAAACAUUAGCCAUAUGGAAAGAUAAACCUGAGCACAUCCUCCUUCCAGCUCCAAAUAGGAUUCAAUUCAAAAUGAUUUCACUUGUAGCCAUGACCCUGGAAUCAUAUCCCCGAAUUUUGCAAGCCUCGCUACAUUCUCAUGUAAAAGCAAUGUAGCAGGAGGAUAUAAUCUAGAGUUUACAUCCUAUAACAGAUGGGAUUUUUCUGCCAUCAUGGCUACAUGAGCAAGUCGUGUACGUGUUUUGUUUUUUUUUUGGUCUCUCUUGCCCAGCAUGAUUUGAGAACAUCUUAUUCUUAACUUAAUUUACGUAGAAUAAAGUUGCAACGUUAGUUUUAUGCCCCACGUGCGCAUGCGCACGUAAAUAUAAAGUAAUUUUAUGUAAUAAGAGAAUUUUAUAUUUUAUUAAAGUAAUAGAUAAAUUAAAUGAAUAAAGAUACGUACACCUUCAAGGUUUGGAGAAAUGAUCAUAAAGACUCUUAAGUUUUUAAUAAGAGACACUAAUACAUUUUUUUUUAUUGUAAUACUCUUUAAUUCUACGAACUCAAAAAAAAUGACUUCAAAAUUUUCUAAUAAAUAUACAUUUUAGAAUAAUUUUAAUAUUUUAAAAUUUUUAAAAUAUUUUACAAUAUAUUAUACCUAUUUUAUUAUAAUAAAGCAAUUUUAAUAAUAAAUAGAAACAUGAUAUUAAAGAAAAUAAAUUUAAAAUUAAAAUUAUUUUGAAUAUUACGGAAAAAUAAUUUUAAUAUUAUUAAUAGGGAGAUAUUCUGUUAACUAUAAAGUCUAUUUAACUCAAAGAUUUAUUUAAAAUCUUUAUAAUAAAUACAAUUAUAUUAUUAAAAUAAAUAUAAUAAUUUAAAAUUUUAAUUUUUAAAUGUUAAAAAUAAUUUAAUAUUAUUAGUUUACUAGAUAGAUUAUAUUAUUUAUAUUAAAUUUGUAUAAAUUAAAAACUUUAAAGUCAAUUUUCUAAUUACUAUAUUGGAAGGGUAUUAUCAUCAAAGAAAAGAUGUUAGUGUACCUUUUUGAAAAUUUGAGGGUCUUUGUGAUCAUUUUCCCAAUUAUUGUGGGUGUGAGUGUAUUUUUUUCUAAAUUAAAAGAUAAAAAAAUAUAAAGUAAAAGAUCAUUUCAUAUUUUAUUAAAGUAAUAGAUUAAAAGAUAAAAAAUAUAAAUUUUAAUACAAUAAAUGACAAAAUACACUACAUUGGAGUGUAUGUUUUAUAAUUUUUAGCUUGUCUUUUAUUUUAUUAAAAUAAGAGAUUUUCUUAUUAUAAAUUACUAUAUACAUAGAGUGAGCUACAAGAUAAAAGAUAUAGGACCAAGCACAUUGCAUUAAAAUUUGUAUUUUUUUUAACUUAUUUAUGACUAUGAUAGUCACAUUUUCUAAUUAAAACAAAGUAUUCCACACACACAUAAAUAUUUAAUCAUUAUUUUUGGAUGCACAAGUACACACAAAUUUUUAAAAUGAGUACAAAUUUUCACAAAUAUCUCUUAGAUAACGUGAAAAUUAUGCCCACAACAAUUUUUCUUAAUUUUCAAAGGCGGCUGACUAGAAUGAAGAGGCUGCUCGACUUGGUACUUCGGUAGAAGUGUCGUAAAGUUUAUGCUGCCUGUUAUUUACGAGCUUUUAUCUUUCUAAAAUGAUCCUCCCCAUUGAUUCAGUUCAGAUUAAUUUAUUAAGUUCUACUUGAUUUCUUUGUAAGGAAGUUGUCUAUUCUAAUUCCAUUCGAAGAAACUAUUCGUCACAUUGCAGUUUUCAAUCCUACUAGUGGAAAACCAUUUGCUAAAAUCUGCUUAAUCGUAGUCCCUGAACUUGAAGGCAACUCAUUACUCUUUUGAUAUUAAACUUAUAAAAAAAAAUAGAGCAUAAGAAUAAUACAGCAUUAUGAAAACUGUACAAUAAUAAAUUAUAAACGUUAAAAGCUACUGGGAGAAAAUUAAAUCAAAUUGAAUAGUAAAUACCGAUAAAAUAGUAGAUCCGACACAAAUAAUUGAAUAUUAAAUUAAGAGAGCUGCUACCUUACGUUAAACGUAAGGUACAACUCUCUCUACGUAAAUAAUUAAAUAUUAAAUUAAAAGAAUUACUACCUUAUAUUUAACGUAAGGUACAAUUUACUUUACAGUAAUGGAUUUUAUUAAAACCUACUUUCUAACUAUGUGAGAGAAAAUAUCUUGUGUUAAAUGUAAGGUAUACAAACCCUCAAAUUGAAUGGUCGAAAACAAAAGUAAUAAGAUAAAACGUUGAUAUAAGGAGAGAGGUUGAAGUGAUAAGACAGGUGUUUCAAUUUCAGUCUCAUACAUACGUAAACGUGAGAGGGAGAUAUUCACUGCAGCUUACGUUCAAUGCGGUACCUCAUACAGACGGAGCCCACCCAUUUUAAGGAGCACUGGCCACUAUUUACAAGGUUUUGGUCCCACUUUUUUUGCCUAUACAGUAAUUAGUUUUUGGAGUUUUUCACUAUCUAUAAUCAUGUUUUGUAGAACAGAAUUUGCAUGUGUCAGCAUGCUUAAUAAGGUCAUACGUCAUUUCAGUCACUUCAGUAGUGUUUUAUUACGUGACUCAUUAUAUUGUAGGGUCAUACGUCAGUUUAGACACUAAUUUUUCUCCUUUUUGAUGCUAAACUUAAUUCAGUGAGUACGACUUUUGUUUCAUUUUUUGACCCAUUCUACAAAUGACAAACCAUCCGUGGACCAACCUGCCACCGGUCUCACAUAAGUCCUCCUUAUACAGCAACAAACUUUUUCUUUGGUUGCUGGAGGAUCUCAAGAUCAUGUAUACUCAAAACUUUUUCUUUCUUAUUACUUUUUCAUUAAUUUUCUGUCUUUCUUAUUCCUUUUUCAUUAAUUUUCUGCACAAAGCACAAUUAAUUGGAUAUACGUUCAAAAUAAUUCUUCCAUAUUCCAUCUUUUUCGUCGAGCCAGCAUCUUCAACAUUUUUCUUCUUCGUCGCCUUAUACACUUUAAAGCUAAUGACCACAUAAAUUAACAUAUUAACAAAAUUAAAAAUAACAAAAAAGGAUUAAUAGAAACAUCUUAAUAUAUUUUUGGAACUUGCCCACAAAUCUUUUAUGAUCUCUAAGUACAAUAUAAAUUCAAUUCGGCACCGAAUAAAAGAGAUGAAGUUAAGGUUAGCACAAAUAAUUGUAUGAUUAAUGGAUGUGUUAGAUGGGUGUCCAAAGUUGUUAUAGUUUAAACUAUUUUUCUAAAUUAUUCUUAAUAUUAAAUUAUAUGAAGAUUAUUUUAGUAUCAUAAUUUUUUAGCCAAUAUGGUGUUCAAAGUACAUUUUAGAGUACAAAUGAUCUCACUCGUAAAUAAAAUACACCAAAAUUUAAUAGUAAACUAACCAACGGAACUCCUUAAUUGAGUUAUUUGGCAACUCUUCUCUCCCUUAUUCAUUAGGGGGAGGAUUCAAAUCUUCCAAUCUCCCAAAAUUAUAAAAGUACAAUUAAAAAAAAUAGUAAAAUGAUUAUUUUUAUUAAAAAAAAUUGCUUGUUAUUGUUGAUAGCUACUGCCACUCCUUAUCAUCGGCAGACCCACGAAGGGAACACUAGCAAUUAGAAAUAUAUUAUAUUACUAUUAUUGAUAAAAGCUAAAAAUGUGGUUCACAUAUUAUUUGUCUAAAUCCCUGGUGGUACAAGUAUUUUAAGGAUUAGAAUCAUGAAAUUUAUUAAAUGCACUUAUAAUGAUGUUAAUUUAUUUGAAAUAGAAUUUUUGAAAAAUUGGUUAAUAGAAGAAAUUCUGAUAAAAAUAAUAUUCCCUUAAAAUAUCAUUGGAACUCUUAAGUAAAAUAUUUUAAGUGAGCCCCCAAUGAUCUUUUUUUUUUAAAAAAAAAAAAAUUCAUCUUCAAAAUGAAUUAGAGAAUUUAUUUUAGAUAAGUCCUGCAGAAAGUAAAUUUUUAUUUUUAUGAUAUCAUUGGAGUCACUAGAAACAGCCCCCAAUAAAAUGUUUGGAUCAUUUAGUAACUAGAAAUAGACUUUGGCUUUAAGAAUAACUAAAAUAUAUUUAUUUAGUUAAAAUAAUUGAAAUAUUUUGCUUGGUAGGGGUAACUAAAAUAAAUGUAAGUUAAAUAAUUAUGGCUUUCUUGGAAUAUUAUUAUUGUGAAAUUAAAGGAUAGAUAGGUUUUCAAAAUAAUUUACGGUCAUUACGCUAGUAGUUAGUUAAUGUACGCACAAUAUCACAAUGUGCAAGUUGCAUAAGAAAGCUGAAAAAUGAUAUGUAUCCCAUCAUCAAUGAACCCCACCUCAAUCUUAUCAAUAAUAAUUUUGAUAAAAUUAUUAAAGAUAAAAUAGAUUCUCCAUUAUACAAGUGAAAAAUUAUAUCAACAUAACUUUCAAGUUAUAGCAGCUAGUGUUUACCAAAUACUUUACUGCUGUAACUUUUAAGCUGCAGCUGUCUAACCUUAAUCUCAAACGCACCCAUAAUAUGUUGAGAUAACGGUCGAAGAGUAUUUUAUCAUAUGGAUUAAUAAUGCAUCCCCCAAUCAGAUCCAUUGACUUUUUUAAUAUUAAAUUUAAUGAUCCCAACGUAGGAUCACUACUGAGCACAUGACAAAGUACCAACGAAAGUGUUCCACUGCCUCAUCGUUUCUCUCUAUAUAUAGAGCAUUUGUGUCUUGAGGUUUUUGCAACUCCUACUCUUAAAAACAAACUAUAAAGUUGUAUUUGAUUUGUCUGAAACGGAAUGAAAGAUAUGUCUAUUCCACUUCUAGCAGCAGUUUCCAGUUCAACUGAAGAAACUGUUCGUCCCAUUGCAGAUUUUCAUCCUACUUUAUGGGGAAACCAUUUCCUGAAAUCCGCUGCCGAUGUCGAGGUAAUUAAAAAAUUGCAAUAUCAAAAUAUCUCAUUAAUUAUCAGAGAAGCAAGCCCAAUCGAUGUACAAUCAUAUGUCAUAUGUAAUCGUUUGUUAGACAUACGUAAUGCAUUAAUAUUAAGUAAUUUCUUGCGUUUGCAGACAAUUGACGCUGCAACUCAAGAACAGCACGCAGCACUGAAGCAAGAGGUCAGGAGGAUGAUAACCACUACUGCCAAUAAGCUUGCCCAAAAACUACACAUGAUUGAUGCAGCACAACGAUUAGGUGUCGCUUAUCAUUUUGAAAAAGAGAUUGAAGAUGAAUUGGGAAAGGUAUCUCAUGAUCUUGACAGUGAUGAUCUAUACGUUGUUUCUCUUCGUUUUCGACUUUUUAGGCAGCAAGGAGUUAAGAUUUCAUGUGGUAUGUAAUAGUUUCUCAUUUUGUUAAUUAAACUAUUUAUGUUAAUUAUAAGAUUAUUGUUGAUUAUCAAAUUAAAUUUAAGCAUGUACACUAAUCGAGACUAGCUCGCCUCUUUUGAAUAUGGUCAUCAGAUGUGUUUGAGAAGUUCAAAGAUGAUGAAGGUAAAUUCAAGGAAUCAUUGAUCAACGAUAUACGAGGCGUGUUGAGUUUGUACGAGGCAGCAUCCCUAGCAAUUCGGGGAGAAGACAUUUUAGAUGAAGCCAUUGUUUUCACUACCACUCACCUUAAUUCAAUAAUAUCUAUAUCUGAUCAUUCUCAUGUAAACUCUAAUCUUGCUGAAAAAAUACGUCAUUCUCUGCAAAUUCCUCUCCGUAAAGCAGCAGCAAGGUUAGAGGCAAGGUAUUUUUUGGAUAUCUAUUCAAGAGAUGAUUU
rnacentral:lncRNA from 1 species